AAGUCGUUUCUACUUCCAUUUACUGAGAGCAAUACAGAUUCUCGACUACCCAUGCAGAAUGACCAAUUUAUUUCAUAUUAUAUCAGUAAUUUGUAGCUUGUAAAAUAAACAACACAUUUAUGGCUUGUCAAACCAUGACACGAUAUAUAACCAUGGCCAUGCCAACCAUAAUGGUCCUGUAGUUAACUAUGGCCACAACUGUACUUUGCCAAAAGUGAGCUCUAUAAUCACAUCGCGUCACCACUCUCUUUAGAGGGUACACUGUCAUCAGCGAGCGCUCUUCUCACAUCUUUUUAGACCAGAUGUGGGAGAAAUAAAAAGUCCUCAGAGAUAAAAAAGUUUACCAAACACUUUAUGAAUCAUGCAUGCUGAUACCAAUACAUAUUUCUCAUACUUAAACAUCACCUCAUGCUUAAUUUCUACCAUCAUAUAAUGU
rnacentral:lncRNA from 1 species